AUUGAACGCUGGCGGCAGGCCUAACACAUGCAAGUCGAGCGGUAGCACAGAGAGCUUGCUCUCGGGUGACGAGCGGCGGACGGGUGAGUAAUGUCUGGGAAACUGCCUGAUGGAGGGGGAUAACUACUGGAAACGGUAGCUAAUACCGCAUAACGUCGCAAGACCAAAGAGGGGGACCUUCGGGCCUCUUGCCAUCAGAUGUGCCCAGAUGGGAUUAGCUAGUAGGUGGGGUAACGGCUCACCUAGGCGACGAUCCCUAGCUGGUCGGAGAGGGUGACCAGCAACACUGGAACUGAGACACGGUCCAGACGCCUAGGGGAGGCAGCAGUGGGGAAUAUUGCACAAUGGGCGCAAGCCUGAUGCAGCCAUGCCGCGUGUAUGAAGAAGGCCUUCGGGUUGUAAAGUACUUUCAGCGGGGAGGAAGGUGUUGAGGUUAAUAACCUCAGCAAUUGACGUUACCCGCAGAAGAAGCACCGGCUAACUCCGUGCCAGCAGCCGCGGUAA
rnacentral:rRNA from 1 species